UCUUAUUGAUUAUAAUUUUAAGUCUAAUCUGCCCAAUGAUAUUUUAUUUAAUGGCUGCAGUAUUUAUAACUGUACAAAGGUAGCAUAAUAAUUAGUUUUUUAAUUGAAAACUAGAAUGAAAGAUUAAAUGAAAUAUAUACUAUAUAAAUAAAAUUAAAAAUUAAAAUUAAAAUUUAAGUAAAAAUUCUUAAAUUAUUUUAAAAGACGAGAAGACCCUAUAGAAUUUUAUUUUUUAUUAUUUUAAGAUUUAAUAAUAAAUUUAAAUAAAUAAUAAAAAAUUUAAUUGGGGUAAUUUUAAAAUUAAAUUAAUUUUUAUUUAAAAAACAUAAAUUAAUGAAUUUUUAAUCUUAAAAUUUAGAUUAAAAAAAUAAAUUACC
rnacentral:rRNA from 1 species